UUUCAGACUACCAGUAUUAGUAUCCCAUUAAUGAGGCAACUAGCCAACAGGAAAAUAAAUCUUGUAGAGAUUCUUCUGGAUAUUUUUCAUCUUGUUAUUGCUAAGAAAAGGCUUAAAAAAGUGGAAGAAGCAUCACCUCAUGAAAUAGUGGAGGCAUUCAUCAGGGGAACUAGUGAAGAUGAUCCAAUAGAACAGGAAGAAGCUAAAUCAGACAUGGCAAAAACUUCCCUGACUUCAGUAGAGUGCAGUGAAAAGGAAGUGACUGACAGCACUUUACCAACUGAUCAAUGCCAAUAUGACAAGUAUAGGAAGAAAAUACAAGAGUUAAAGAAGGAACAUAGGUUGGCUCAGAAAUAUCUUUCUCAAUCCAGUGAAGCUUUGCUACAGUGCAUGGGUA
rnacentral:lncRNA from 14 species